rnacentral:misc_RNA from 1 species
ACCCUGUUUAGCCCAAAAGAAGCACCAAUGUAAUGGACUCUCUCAGGUAAUCUUUCACAAGGAUGUAUCAGCAAUGGUGGAAGGUUUUCUCUAGGAGAAAUAGUUUCUUCUAGCAAUGAGACCUUCUUUGCUGCUUGAAUGAAGUUGUCANCUUGAAUGAAGUUGUCAUGAGGCCUCAUUACAUUCUUUUCAACAUUUGUCUCAUCAGUAGC